rnacentral:lncRNA from 1 species
UGGUGACGACACGCCUGGACGCCGAAAGGUGGAGGAGAGACUGGGCGGAUGUGAGCUUCCGGCUGCCGGGUAGGGGCGGCCAUGCGGCACCACGGUACCUUUCUGGAAUGUGGUGCGGAACGGUCUCUGUGUGAAUGUGUUUUGAUGAGAAAAAUCCUGUGUGUUGCCGGGCCCUGGCAAGAACCACCCUCGCCCUGCUGGGAGCAAGCAGCCAGAUGGCAGAGACAGGAGACAAAACCUAACCCAGACAUGAGCCCAGAGCUUCCUUAAAUCGCCUGCCCGCGGUUUUCUCCAUCCUGACUUGGCUCUGAUAAACCAGCCAUCUAGUUUCUUGGCCUCAGCGUGAGCAGUUGCAAUUGCGAGUCAUUCCUCAUUUCCCUGGCUUGGCAUGAUGCCUCCCUUAGACAUCACACGGUUCUCAUUUCCAUCCCAUUCUCUUACUGUGCUAAGAGCAACCAGGGACAUUUGGUGAAGCUCUGAUAGGGCCUGUCUAUCAAUAGGAGGUAUUCUCAGGGUACAAGGCAUGUGACUAUCUUUCUCGGACAUGUGGUGAGUUAUGAAAGAAGUGAAGUACCCGUGUGAGUCACCAAGUAUUCUUAGGAUACUUUAAAAGAGCUGGCGAGAUGGCUCAGUGGGUAAAGCCCUUGAUGCCCAGCCAGGAAGACCUAUGUGAAUCUCCAAAUUCCAUGUCACUGUUAACUGUAUCUGUAUUCCAGGGCUUUAAGGGUAAGACAGAAGAAUCCUGAAAAACCCCAGAAGCAGCUAGUUGAAGGCGCAUAGAGCCUGCAUAUUUUGACACAAUUCUUAGGGUAGUGUGAAGGCAGUGCCAAGUUAUAUAUACUAAGACCUUUUGACCUCAUGUGCCUUCAACUACUACAAUGUCGUUUCUUCCCUUGUUUGGUUGGUUUUGUUUUUUGUGGUUGUUUGUCUGUUUUCAGUUUUUGAGACAAGGGCUUUCUAGUAAGCAGUGCAGGCUAGCCUUGAACUAACAGAGCUUCACCUGCCUCUGCUUCCCAAAUGGUAGGAUUAAAGGCGAGCACCAACAUGCUCCUUGUUGCCUUA